rnacentral:rRNA from 1 species
GGGUUGUGAGGUUAAGCGACUAAGCGUACACGGUGGAUGCCCUGGCAGUCAGAGGCGAUGAAGGACGUGCUAAUCUGCGAUAAGCGUCGGUAAGGUGAUAUGAACCGUUAUAACCGGCGAUUUCCGAAUGGGGAAACCCAGUGUGAUUCGUCACACUAUCAUUAACUGAAUCCAUAGGUUAAUGAGGCGAACCGGGGGAACUGAAACAUCUAAGUACCCCGAGGAAAAGAAAUCAACCGAGAUUCCCCCAGUAGCGGCGAGCGAACGGGGAGCAGCCCAGAGCCUGAAUCAGUGUGUGUGUUAGUGGAAGCGUCUGGAAAGGCGUGCGAUACAGGGUGACAGCCCCGUACACAAAAAUGCACAUGCUGUGAGCUCGAUGAGUAGGGCGGGACACGUGGUAUCCUGUCUGAAUAUGGGGGGACCAUCCUCCAAGGCUAAAUACUCCUGACUGACCGAUAGUGAACCAGUACCGUGAGGGAAAGGCGAAAAGAACCCCGGCGAGGGGAGUGAAAAAGAACCUGAAACCGUGUACGUACAAGCAGUGGGAGCACGCUUAGGCGUGUGACUGCGUACCUUUUGUAUAAUGGGUCAGCGACUUAUAUUCUGUAGCAAGGUUAACCGAAUAGGGGAGCCGAAGGGAAACCGAGUCUUAACUGGGCGUUAAGUUGCAGGGUAUAGACCCGAAACCCGGUGAUCUAGCCAUGGGCAGGUUGAAGGUUGGGUAACACUAACUGGAGGACCGAACCGACUAAUGUUGAAAAAUUAGCGGAUGACUUGUGGCUGGGGGUGAAAGGCCAAUCAAACCGGGAGAUAGCUGGUUCUCCCCGAAAGCUAUUUAGGUAGCGCCUCGUGAAUUCAUCUCCGGGGGUAGAGCACUGUUUCGGCAAGGGGGUCAUCCCGACUUACCAACCCGAUGCAAACUGCGAAUACCGGAGAAUGUUAUCACGGGAGACACACGGCGGGUGCUAACGUCCGUCGUGAAGAGGGAAACAACCCAGACCGCCAGCUAAGGUCCCAAAGUCAUGGUUAAGUGGGAAACGAUGUGGGAAGGCCCAGACAGCCAGGAUGUUGGCUUAGAAGCAGCCAUCAUUUAAAGAAAGCGUAAUAGCUCACUGGUCGAGUCGGCCUGCGCGGAAGAUGUAACGGGGCUAAACCAUGCACCGAAGCUGCGGCAGCGACGCUGAUGCGUUGUUGGGUAGGGGAGCGUUCUGUAAGCCUGCGAAGGUGUGCUGUGAGGCAUGCUGGAGGUAUCAGAAGUGCGAAUGCUGACAUAAGUAACGAUAAAGCGGGUGAAAAGCCCGCUCGCCGGAAGACCAAGGGUUCCUGUCCAACGUUAAUCGGGGCAGGGUGAGUCGACCCCUAAGGCGAGGCCGAAAGGCGUAGUCGAUGGGAAACAGGUUAAUAUUCCUGUACUUGGUGUUACUGCGAAGGGGGGACGGAGAAGGCUAUGUUGGCCGGGCGACGGUUGUCCCGGUUUAAGCGUGUAGGCUGGUUUUCCAGGCAAAUCCGGAAAAUCAAGGCUGAGGCGUGAUGACGAGGCACUACGGUGCUGAAGCAACAAAUGCCCUGCUUCCAGGAAAAGCCUCUAAGCAUCAGGUAACAUCAAAUCGUACCCCAAACCGACACAGGUGGUCAGGUAGAGAAUACCAAGGCGCUUGAGAGAACUCGGGUGAAGGAACUAGGCAAAAUGGUGCCGUAACUUCGGGAGAAGGCACGCUGAUAUGUAGGUGAAGUCCCUCGCGGAUGGAGCUGAAAUCAGUCGAAGAUACCAGCUGGCUGCAACUGUUUAUUAAAAACACAGCACUGUGCAAACACGAAAGUGGACGUAUACGGUGUGACGCCUGCCCGGUGCCGGAAGGUUAAUUGAUGGGGUCAGCGCAAGCGAAGCUCUUGAUCGAAGCCCCGGUAAACGGCGGCCGUAACUAUAACGGUCCUAAGGUAGCGAAAUUCCUUGUCGGGUAAGUUCCGACCUGCACGAAUGGCGUAAUGAUGGCCAGGCUGUCUCCACCCGAGACUCAGUGAAAUUGAACUCGCUGUGAAGAUGCAGUGUACCCGCGGCAAGACGGAAAGACCCCGUGAACCUUUACUAUAGCUUGACACUGAACAUUGAGCCUUGAUGUGUAGGAUAGGUGGGAGGCUUUGAAGUGUGGACGCCAGUCUGCAUGGAGCCGACCUUGAAAUACCACCCUUUAAUGUUUGAUGUUCUAACGUUGACCCGUAAUCCGGGUUGCGGACAGUGUCUGGUGGGUAGUUUGACUGGGGCGGUCUCCUCCUAAAGAGUAACGGAGGAGCACGAAGGUUGGCUAAUCCUGGUCGGACAUCAGGAGGUUAGUGCAAUGGCAUAAGCCAGCUUGACUGCGAGCGUGACGGCGCGAGCAGGUGCGAAAGCAGGUCAUAGUGAUCCGGUGGUUCUGAAUGGAAGGGCCAUCGCUCAACGGAUAAAAGGUACUCCGGGGAUAACAGGCUGAUACCGCCCAAGAGUUCAUAUCGACGGCGGUGUUUGGCACCUCGAUGUCGGCUCAUCACAUCCUGGGGCUGAAGUAGGUCCCAAGGGUAUGGCUGUUCGCCAUUUAAAGUGGUACGCGAGCUGGGUUUAGAACGUCGUGAGACAGUUCGGUCCCUAUCUGCCGUGGGCGCUGGAGAACUGAGGGGGGCUGCUCCUAGUACGAGAGGACCGGAGUGGACGCAUCACUGGUGUUCGGGUUGUCAUGCCAAUGGCACUGCCCGGUAGCUAAAUGCGGAAGAGAUAAGUGCUGAAAGCAUCUAAGCACGAAACUUGCCCCGAGAUGAGUUCUCCCUGACUCCUUGAGAGUCCUGAAGGAACGUUGAAGACGACGACGUUGAUAGGCCGGGUGUGUAAGCGCAGCGAUGCGUUGAGCUAACCGGUACUAAUGAACCGUGAGGCUUAACCUUACAACGCCGAAGCUGUU